GAAAUGCGAUAAGUAAUGUGAAUUGCAGAAUUCAGUGAAUCAUCGAAUCUUUGAACACACAUUGCGCCCGCCAGCACUCUGACGGGCAUGCCUGUUCGAGCGUCAUUUCAACCCUCAGAACCCCUUGCGGGAUCUGGCGUUGGGGAUUGGCAUCCAGCCAGCCCCGAAAUCUAGUGGCGGUCCCUCCGCGACCUCCCCUGUGCAGUAGCGAUACCUCGCAGCGGGACAGCGGUCUGACCACGCCGUAAAACCCCCAACUUCUCAAGGUUGACCUCGAAUCAGGUAGGAAUACCCGCUGAACUUAAGC
rnacentral:misc_RNA from 1 species